rnacentral:lncRNA from 1 species
CAUGAGUGUGCCACUUCCUGAUGGGCCCAGCCCCAGAUCACAACAGUCCACACAGACCGCAUUCAAGCCCUGGUUGAAGAGAAGUCAAAGUAGGAGCUGACUCCAGUGACGUUAAGCAGCUGUCGCAGAAAUAGGAGAAAAGAGGCGAAAAGAUUCACUGUCACCAAAUCACAGUGGCUGGGAAAACACCUGGAUCCUCCACUUCUACAACAUUUAUGGAGAAUCUGUUACAUCUCAUCCCUGUUAAGUCCAGACAUGACGCUCAGGAGAGGCUAGAUCCUUUCCCUCAAGGACUAACCAUCUGUGGGGGAGAGAGUCACAAAACAGAUUCCCAAACAAGCAUUUUGUUACAAGUAAGAGCGGGACAGAUGGAGCUACUCAUCCCAGGAGGCUGGGCACAGAGAGAAGACUCACAGACACUGAGAAUAUGUGUAUUGGGAAACAGGAACCCCCAUGCCUCAACUAUGCUUCAAAAGAAAUCCACUUACACAAGAGCUAGCAAGACACAGAGGAACUCGAUCAUACCUUCUGUGACUCUCAGAUCUUCAGUAAAGUUUCUAAAUUUUGGACAAAUUUUUGCUUUGAAAACUGAUGUAGAGCAGAGCUGAGACAGCAGAGAGGAAAGUGCACCAGAAGAAGAACUAUGAAGACGCAAAGAGGAAUUUUCAGAAAGUGUUUGGAGGACUCUGAAUGGCCUCCGGCCAUGGAAGAGAGGUCAGGCCAAGGCCGAGUUCAAUCAGCUUUUUGGAGGGCAAGAAUCUUCACUUAAAAUUAGAGCAACAGGAAAAACACAGAAUAUGAACUUAUGUCAGAGUUGGACCAUACUAAUAGAAACUCGGGGGUUUUUCCCACUGGCCUAUAUAAGAGAAAAUGCACUUCUGCACUUUCCUAAGGAUUGAAUGAGGGGAAGGGAAGGAUCCUCAAGAUGCAGAGCAGAGGUAGAAGAUAGAGA